rnacentral:rRNA from 1 species
GACGAACGCUGGCGGCGUGCUUAACACAUGCAAGUCGAACGGUGAAAGCGGAGCUUGCUCCGCUGGAUCAGUGGCGAACGGGUGAGUAACACGUGGGCAACCUGCCCCUCACUUCGGGAUAACUCCGGGAAACCGGGGCUAAUACCGGAUAUGACCUCCUUGGGCAUCCUUGGAGGUGGAAAGUGUUUCGGUGAGGGAUGGGCCCGCGGCCUAUCAGCUUGUUUGUGAGGUAGUGGCUCACCAAGGCGACGACGGGUAGCCGGCCUGAGAGGGCGAGCGGCAACGCUGGGACUGAGACACGGCCCAGACUCCUACGGGAGGCAGCAGUGGGGAAUAUUGCGCAAUGGGCGAAAGCCUGACGCAGCAACGCCGCGUGCGGGAUGACGGCCUUCGGGUUGUAAACCGCUUUCAGCAGGGAAGAAGCCGCAAGGUGACGGUACCUGCAGAAGAAGCACCGGCUAACUACGUGCCAGCAGCCGCCGUAA